GACGAACGCUGGCGGCGUGCCUAAUACAUGCAAGUCGAACGCAGUGGGGACGGGUGAGUAACACGUGGGUAACCUCCCAUCAGAGGGGAUAACACUUGGAAACAGGUGCUAAACCGAUACGGAUUGAUGGUCCCGUGGGGCAUUAGCUAGUUGGUGGGGUAACGGCUAACCAAGGCCACGAUGCAUAGCUGGCCUGAGAGGGUGAUCGGCCAACCUGGGACUGAGACACGGCCCAGAAUCCUACGGGAGGCAGCAGUAGGGAAUCUUCGACAAUGGGCGCAAGUCUGACGGAGCCACGCCGCGUGAGUGAAGAAGGUUUUCGGGUCGUAAAGCUCUGUUGUCAGAGAAGCGGUACCCAAAGAGAAAGCCCCGGCUAACUACGUGCCAGCAGCCGCGGUAAUUC
rnacentral:rRNA from 1 species